UAUAUUGAUAUCUUUCAAGUUUUCAUCACAAGAUUAGUAAAAUGAUGAACACCAGAUCUAUUCUUGCUAUUGUUGUUGCAAUGAUGUUUCUUUUGGGUGAUGUUCACGCUCAGGACUGUAAUCCGAAUGAAGAUAUAAAGGAUUGUUAUCCAGCUCUAAUUGCAAAAGGUUCACCAUCUCCAAUUUGUUGUGAAGAAUUAGAUCAUCACAGAAAUUGCCUUUGCAAAUACAUAGACAUUAAUCAGAUUUUAUUGCCACCACACUACCAAUAUCUCCCCAAUCUUGCCAAUACUUGUGGCGUCUUCUUUCCUGUUUGUGAACUACGGUUGUAGUUUGGUUGUGUCAUUGUUACAUCAAUACAAAUUACGUCUUGAUGAAUAAAUUCAUUCUCUUCUUGUUUUAGUUUGAAUUUUUUUUACAAGUCCUUUUUGUUAUAUUAGUGUUUGUGAGCAUGUUAUGCAACACACUUUUAAUUUAUUAUAUCAAACAAUAUGUUGGUAUGUCAAGGUUUUUGUUGUGGGAGUGCAACGGGUUUAAGUGAUUUUAUUGAUUGUAUCAUUCAUAUAUUAGUUUUUGUUUCACAAUGAAUAUAUGUUAAUACAAGGAUAUGAAAUGUGUUUCGAUUAAUACUUAAUACCAUGGUGCUUCAAACAUCUAAAACUAGUUGACAUUGCUUCCCCUGCAAACUAUUUUCUUGAAUAGAUUCCGAAAAGGCCAUUACUAUUGAAAUUUAUCGUUACUUUUCCCCUACGUGCCCAAUAUCAUAUGCAAAAUUCAAACCAUCUCCAAGCUGAUCUUCUAAUAAUUAGAGACCGUUAUCAAGUGCAAUACAGUGAGUAGCGUUGAUUAAACAUCCACUCUUUAAAGCCUUUCAUUAUUACUAAUGCCUACUUUGAUACACAUAGCAACUCAUUUUGAAACGAUUAAUUGAAAAUUUUGAAUUCCAAAUAUAUGUGAAAUGUAUUUUUGUGCUUGGGAGUAUGUUGUACCACAGUGACUAUCGAUCGCUAUUGUAAAAUUUAGCAUUAGCGGCCACAAAGGCGUUUGAUGGGAUCUAAUUGUCUAUGAUUUGUGAUAAUUGUUCUUUUAAAUUAGAGUCGAUCCUUUCCGGUCCAAGAUGCACUAAAAAGCAUUUGAUCAAACUUUUCAAAAUAAGUUCAUAAUUAGUCAAAUUUAUAAUAAUCGUUAGUGACUAAAACUAUUAAAAAUGUCAUCUAUUAGUAAAAAAAGUUUUAUUUUUAAUUACUUAAAUAUUUAAAUUGUUGUUAGUCCCUUGACAGCAGGUGACUGCCCGACUACUGCCUAAGGACUUUUGAAACCUUUUUUUUGUAUGAUCAUAUCGUGUAUCGAUAUGUUCAUUGAACCGAUUCCAAUCACCUUAUUGGUUUUAUUAAUUCCCAUCAAGAUCUUGUACACAUUAAUCAUUUUAUAAGUUGAAAAACCAUUGCCAAGUUAGGUGCAUACAAAAAGAGUAGCUUUGGUAUCCAUCUGUUAUAUUAUGAUGUCGUUGUUGGUGUUAGAGUGGGAUGUACAUAGGUUGAGUGUAGGGUAGGAGUGUGCAUGCGGGUGUAGGUGUGGGUGUAGGGGUAGGUUAGGCGUAGACGUCGAUAUGUUCUUGUGGAUGUAGUGUCCAUGUCGAUGUAGGUUGAGGUCGGGUUUGUGGGUUUGCGGUGGUUUGUUCUUGGCUACAUAGAUGGCUAGGGUGUUUGUUGAGAGAGAUGAUGAUAAUUUGUUUUGAUUUGAUGAAUUCUAAAUAAAUAAAAAGAGAAUUUGGGAAGACAUUUUUGUCUUGAUAGAAAACAUAAUAAGUGAAAUCUAAAAUCUUUUUCUUUAGUAAAAUAAUGACAAUUCUUUUGGAUGCGAAAGUUAAUGAUAUAUCUAAACAACUCUAAUUCGUUUGAUUUUAUCAACCAAAGAAUUUCUAUUGAAAUUUAAAUUACAUUUACUCUAAAUUUGUUUGAAAUCCAUAAACCAAACAAACGUAAUUUCACAUGAUCAAAUACCACUAUGGGAUUGAACAAACUCACAAAGCUUUAUACAAAUUUAAGUUAACAUUAUAAAAUUAUUUACAUACCCUUGCCAUUUUUCUAGCAAGAAUCCAUUUGAAUUUUUUUGAAAAGAAGAAAACCAAACAUUUUUAUUCACUGAACUAAACUAAACUCUUCCAUUUAAUCCUAUGGCUUGACUAAAAAUAACGAAUAUAAAUCUUGUGUUACGUUAUCAAAAUUCUUAAUUAGCUCAUUAAAUUUCUUUUGAGUUACAUGAUCAUCGGUUCCACACAUUGAAAGUUGUUUGUUUUUAUUAUUAAUUUCUAAGAGUAUAUAUAUAACAUAGUGAAUGUAAUAAGAAGCCAAGUUUCCCAAUAUUAAUAUUGAUAUCUUUUAAGUUUUCAGCACAAGAUUAGUAAAAUUAUGAACACUAGAUCUAUUCUUGCUAUUGUUGUUGCAAUGAUGUUACUUUUGGGUGAUGUUCAUGCUCAAGACUGUAAUCCGAAUGAAGAUAUAAAGGAUUGUUAUCCAGCGCUAAUUUCAAAAGGUUCACCAUCUCCAAUUUGUUGUGAAGAGUUAGAUCAUCACAAAAAUUGCCUUUGUAAAUACAUAAACAUUAAUCAUAUUUUAUUGCCACCACAUUACCAAUAUCUCCCCAAUCUUGCCAAUACUUGUGGCGUCUUCUUUCCUGUUUGUGAACUAGGG
rnacentral:lncRNA from 1 species